rnacentral:snRNA from 1 species
AUCUCUUCUCUGCCUAUUAGCUAAAAUCAAAUGCAGUAUCUGGUUUCACCAAUUAAAGCAUCUGAUGUGUUCUCUGUCUGUGUACUGGGCAUUACAUUACUGCUUGGAAUCAGGAGAUGGGUUGGGAGUUUGCUCUAUCCACCCCCCCCCCCCCCAAUUGCAUUACUUCUAGGAAUGAUGCAUUCCUU